GAAGCUGCAGUGUGGGGAUGCUCUGACCGAGUUCAGCCCCCAGUGUCUUUCCUCCACCUCCUCCUGCAGCGGCAGCAUCGGCAGUUAGCAGUGGGCAACUUGAGGCUGUAACCAGGGCAAGCCCCCAGGGUCCUGCUCACCCGACAGGGGGCUCAGCUCCCCAAAGGGGUGUGUGCAGGGCGGGGGCGGCCAGCUGGGACCAGCUGGUGGCCCUAGAAAACCUCACCCACACCCACACACCCCUUUUGUGUUGCAGGCUGCCCCUCUGAGAGCGGAGGCAGCGAGAGUACUCGCGUGCCUCGCACCGGUCCGCGGUGAGAGCUGCGGGGACCAAGACUCGCACCACCUCCCGGUCCUCGCUCCAGGUAAGGCAG
rnacentral:lncRNA from 1 species